GAGAAGGUGAUUUUUCUGUUUGAUUAAAAAAAAAAAAAAAAAAAAAAAAAAAAAACAGGAAGUACUGUUGGUAGUGGAGAGUUACAUAGGCUUUAUGAAGCGACCACAGUUUGCUGUAGCCACAUUUUUAAAAAAUUAGUUUGCCAACACGUCCCAAGCACUUUUGAAUUCCUAAACUUAUUUCUGAUAUUAAAUAUAGUAUAUAUAUACUGACAUUUCAUUGCAUUUCUGAAGACUGAAAUGGCAUUAAAUAAAAGUGUGUAAAUUUGAUUUACAUGUACUUAAAAGCUGCAGUUAAACAAUCCCCAAUGUUCAAAAACUAUUUUAUUUUUCUGACUAUAUUAUGAAUUUUAUGUUACUAUUUAUUUUAUUAAUGUUUUCUUUAAACCAUUGAGUUUUUUGACAUUAAAGUUUUCAUUUAUUAUACUACAUUUUUUAUCAUGUAAGACCAAAUCCAGUAGUGCAUUUUACAAUGUUUUUUUUCUCACAAUGCUGCUAAAGAAAUGGCUAUCAUUCUGAAUUUACAACAUGCCAAAGAAGGCAUAGAAGUUAUAUUUAUUUUUGUUCUUGUCAAAACUCUUUGAGCAACAAUUAUCAAGAUGUAUUAAAUUACUGGCAUUCUCUGGGUACUAAAUAAAAAGGCUGCAACUUUCUAACAUUUU